UACGUAGGGUGCAAGCGUUGUCCGGAAUUAUUGGGCGUAAAGAGCUCGUAGGUGGCUUGUCGCGUCGGGUGUGAAAGCUUGGGGCUUAACUCCAGGUCUGCAUUCGAUACGGGCUGGCUAGAGGUAGGUAGGGGAGAACGGAAUUCCUGGUGUAGCGGUGAAAUGCGCAGAUAUCAGGAGGAACACCGGUGGCGAAGGCGGUCUCUGGGCCUUACCUGACGCUGAGGAGCGAAAGCGUGGGGAGCGAACAGG
rnacentral:rRNA from 1 species